GGGCUAGUGCUUGUGUCCAGCUGC
rnacentral:siRNA from 1 species